UNAGAAGUUCGGGGCUUAACCCCGNGAUGGGAUGGAAACUGCCAAUCUAGAGUAUCGGAGAGGAAAGUGGAAUUCCUAGUGUAGCGGUGAAAUGCGUAGAUAUUAGGAAGAACACCAGUGGCGAAGGCGACUUUCUGGACGAAAACUGACGCUGAGGCGCGAAAGCCAGGGGAGCGAACGGGAUCAGAUACCCCGGUAGUCCUGGCCGUAAACGAUGGGUACUAGGUGUAGGAGGUAUCGACCCCUUCUGUGCCGGAGUUAACGCAAUAAGUACCCCGCCUGGGGAGUACGACCGCAAGGUUGAAACUCAAAGGAAUUGACGGGGGCCCGCACAAGUGGUGGAGUAUGUGGUUUAAUUCGACGCAACGCGAAGAACCUUACCAGGUCUUGACAUUGAUGGACAGAACUAGAGAUAGUUCCUCUUCUUCGGAAGCCAGAAAACAGGUGGUGCACGGUUGUCGUCAGCUCGUGUCGUGAGAUGUUGGGUUAAGUCCCGCAACGAGCGCAACCCCUAUCUUAUGUUGCCAGCACUUUGGGUGGGAACUCAUGAGAGACUGCCGCAGACAAUGCGGAGGAAGGCGGGGAUGACGUCAAAUCAUCAUGCCCCUUAUGACCUGGGCUACACACGUACUACAAUGGGAGUUAAUAGACGGAAGCGAGAUCGCGAGAUGGAGCAAACCCGAGAAACACUCUCUCAGUUCGGAUCGUAGGCUGCAACUCGCCUACGUGAAGUCGGAAUCGCUAGUAAUCGCAGGUCAGCAUACUGCGGUGAAUACGUUUCCGGGCCUUGUACACACCGCCCGUCACACCACGAAAGUCGGAAGUGCCCAAAGC
rnacentral:rRNA from 1 species